rnacentral:tRNA from 1 species
GGGCCCGUGGCCUAGCAUGGAUAGGGCGCAGGCCUUCGGAGCCUGAGGUCGAGGGUUCAAUUCCCUCCGGGCCCGCCA